UAAGACCAAAUAUGUGAUUAAAAUGUAUUUGAAAAUGAAAUUCAAAUUUGGCAUAAAAUGAGAAACUAGCAAAAUUAAACCAUUUUGUUUUCUUGUGAUUAAAAUGAUUUAUGGGCACAAAUCCCCACCCAAAAAAUAUCCCAUAAAAAAACAACUAGAUUUUCCAUGGAAACCAAACAAAGCCAAUCAUUAUUAAGAGAAAGAUUGAAAAGUAGAAUUGAUGUAAACCUAAUUUAUAGUCCAAAAACAUUUGAGGGCUAAAAUUGGAUUGGCAUUAUAUGAUCACUCACAUAAAUGAUAUGUCUUUAAUUAUUAAAUAAAAUUUAUAAUAAAUUAAAUUUAA
rnacentral:misc_RNA from 1 species